AUUGAACGCUGGCGGAAUGCUUUACACAUGCAAGUCGAGCGGCAGCGCGGGGGCAACCCUGGCGGCGAGCGGCGAACGGGUGAGUAAUACAUCGGAACGUGUCCUUAAGUGGGGGAUAGCUCGGCGAAAGCCGGAUUAAUACCGCAUAAGCUCUGAGGAGGAAAGCGGGGGCUCCGUAAGGACCUCGCGCUGUUGGAGCGGCCGAUGUCGGAUUAGCUAGUUGGUGGGGUAAAGGCCCACCAAGGCGACGAUCCGUAGCUGGUCUGAGAGGAUGAUCAGCCACACUGGAACUGAGACACGGUCCAGACUCCUACGGGAGGCAGCAGUGGGGAAUUUUGGACAAUGGGCGCAAGCCUGAUCCAGCCAUGCCGCGUGGGUGA
rnacentral:rRNA from 1 species